UCUCUCUGACCCAUUAUUACAGACUUCCAAACAAGCACGAUGAGCUGCCAAUGAUGUAUCACCACCCUAUCUCAUUAUUCUCCACUAAAUGUGAUAAUAAUGCGAUCUGUUCACAUAAAAAAAAGUUUUGACCUCACAAAAGCAGCUGGAAAUGGACAGCCACCAUACGCAUAAAUCUAACUCAUACCAUUGGCCGCACACUGCUUCACACACAAUGUUAGAAGAACCUCCCCUCCGUGGGUUCUCGGAAGCAAAAGGGUUGUAUUAGGUCUCAGCUGGGGCUGCGCACCAGGCACUGGGGGAAUAUUCAGUGCUCAGCAGAAGGCUGAAUUUGCAUGUCCUCGUCUUUUGGAAAUCAUUUACCAGGUUUAGAGAGGAUUCAGGCAGCUCAGGUG
ensembl:misc_RNA